UGGAUCGAUGAUGAGUCCCCCCAAAAAAACAUUCCUUGGAAAAGCUGAACAAAAUGAGUGAAAACUCAUACCGUCGUUCUCAGCGGAACUGAGGUCCA
rnacentral:snoRNA from 1 species